UACCAGCACCCCGAGUGGUCGGGACGUUUAUUGGGCCUAAAGCAUCCGUAGCCGGUUCUACAAGUCUUCCGUUAAAUCCACCUGCUUAACAGAUGGGCUGCGGAAGAUACUAUAGAGCUAGGAGGCGGGAGAGGCAAGCGGUACUCGAUGGGUAGGGGGUAAAAUCCGUUGAUCCAUUGAAGACCACCAGUGGCGAAGGCGGCUUGCCAGAACGCGCUCGACGGGUGAGGGAUGAAAAGCUGG
rnacentral:rRNA from 1 species